rnacentral:rRNA from 1 species
CUUCCGUAGGUGAACCUGCGGAAGGAUCAUUAAUGAAUUUUAGGACGUUCUUUUUAGAAGUCCGACCCUUUCAUUUUCUUACACCGUGCACACACUUCUUUUUUACACACACUUUUAACACCUUAGUAUAAGAAUGUAAUAGUCUCUUAAUUGAGCAUAAAUAAAAACAAAACUUUCAGCAACGGAUCUCUUGGCUCUCGCAUCGAUGAAGAACGCAGCGAAUUGCGAUAAGUAAUGUGAAUUGCAGAAUUCAGUGAAUCAUCGAAUCUUUGAACGCACCUUGCACUCUUUGGUAUUCCGAAGAGUAUGUCUGUUUGAGUGUCAUGAAACUCUCAACCCCCCUAUUUUGUAAUGAGAUGGGCGUGGGCUUGGAUUAUGGUUGUCUGUUGGCGUAAUUGCCGGCUCAACUGAAAUACACGAGCAACCCUACUGAAACAAACGGUUUGACUUGGCGUAAUAAUUAUUUCGCUAAGGACGUUUUCUUCAAUUAUAAGAGGUGCUUCUAAUUCGCUUCUAAUAGCAUUUAAGCUUUAGACCUCAAAUCAGUCAGGACUACCCGCUGAACUUAAGCAUAUCAAUAAGCGGAGGAAAA